rnacentral:rRNA from 1 species
UACCAGCUCUCCGAGUGGUGUGGAUGUUUAUUGGGCCUAAAGCAUCCGUAGCUGGCUGGGCAAGUCCCCCGUUAAAUCCACCGAUUCAAUCGUUGGAGUGCGGGGGAUACUGCUCGGCUAGGGGACGGGAGAGGCCGACGGUAUUUUCGGGGUAGGGGUGAAAUCCUAUAAUCCCGGAAAGACCACCAGUGGCGAAGGCUGUCGGCUAGAACGCGCCCGACGGUGAGGGAUGAAAGCUGGGGGAGCGAACCGGAUUAGAUACCCGGGUAGUCCCAGCUGUAAACGAUGCAGGCUAGGUGUUUGGGCGGCCACGUGCCGCUCUAGUGCCGCAGGGAAGUCGUUAAGCCUGCCGCCUGGGGAGUACGGCCGCAAGGCUGAAACUUAAAGGAAUUGGCGGGGGAGCACCACAAGGGGUGAAGCUUGCGGUUU